rnacentral:lncRNA from 1 species
CCCCUGAGAAAUGAUUCGGUUGGACUGACAAGAGUCAGGUGCCUAUGCCCACUCCUGGGUAUUGAGGGCCUUGCUCAGAUGAGGGGAGAUCAUUGAGCCCCACAGUCACUUCAGUUUACAUCCACCCCAAUAUGUGGCAAUGGGCAAGUUCCUUCACUCCUCUGAGCCUUGGUUUCUCCAUUGUAAAAUGAAAAAGUGAGUGAAAU